GCUGGGCUUGGUGGUGCGUGCCUGUAGUCCCAGCUACUCGGGAGGCUGAGGAGGGAGGAUUGCUUGAGCCCAGGAGUUCUGGGCUGUAGUGUGCUAUGCCAGUUGGAUGUCUGCACUAAGUUCGGCAUCAAUAUGGUGACCUCCCGGGAGCAGGGGACCACCAGGUUGCCUAAGGAGGGGUGAACAGGCCCAGGUCAGAAACAGAACAGUUCAAAACUCCCUUGCUGAUCAGUAGUUGGCUCGUGCCUGGGAAUACCCACUGCAGCGUAGCCAGGACAACAUAGCAAGACCCCAUCUCU
rnacentral:SRP_RNA from 1 species